rfam:Anaerotruncus colihominis DSM 17241 Scfld_02_19 genomic scaffold, whole genome shotgun sequence.
GGGGAUGUAAAGGUUUCGACGGGGAUCUCGAAGUCCAGGUAGCGGGUAGAGGAGCAUGCACCUCUAUAAAAGUAUGACGUUUUUAAAUUAGACGACAACGAUAAUUUAGCUUUUGCGGCUUAAUUAAGCCGCCGUUCCGCUGCGGAGUACCACGGCCGCGGACGGAGCGUCGAUGAGUGGUGAACGAUCGGUCCAAGCGCCUCGUAGGACAUGAUUGUAUUGGGGGCUACCAAACUGCAUAGCCUGUCGGACGGCGAUGCAGCGCGGGAAGUUUAAAAGACCGACUGCACCCGGAGAAGCUUGGGUGGACUGGUUUUCGGACAGGGGUUCGAUUCCCCUCAUCUCCACCA